AACGAACGCUGGCGGCAUGCCUAACACAUGCAAGUCGAACGAGACCUUCGGGUCUAGUGGCGCACGGGUGCGUAACGCGUGGGAACCUGCCCUUAGGUUCGGAAUAACUCCCCGAAAGGGGUGCUAAUACCGGAUAAUGUCUUCGGACCAAAGAUUUAUCGCCUUUGGAUGGGCCCGCGUUGGAUUAGCUAGUUGGUAGGGUAAAAGCCUACCAAGGCGACGAUCCAUAGCUGGUCUGAGAGGAUGAUCAGCCACACUGGGACUGAGACACGGCCCAGACUCCUACGGGAGGCAGCAGUGGGGAAUAUUGGACAAUGGCGAAAGCCUGAUCCAGCAAUGCUGCGUGAGUGAUGAAGGCCUUAGGGUUGUAAAGCUCUUUUACCCGGGAUGAUAAUGACAGUACCGGGAGAAUAAGCUCCGGCUAACUCCGUG
rnacentral:rRNA from 1 species